GAUGAACGCUGGCGGCGUGCCUAAUACAUGCAAGUCGAGCGAACAGAUGAGGAGCUUGCUCCUCUGACGUUAGCGGCGGACGGGUGAGUAACACGUGGAUAACCUACCUAUAAGACUGGGAUAACUUCGGGAAACCGGAGCUAAUACCGGAUAAUAUAUUGAACCGCAUGGUUCAAUAGUGAAAGACGGUUUUGCUGUCACUUAUAGAUGGAUCCGCGCCGCAUUAGCUAGUUGGUAAGGUAACGGCUUACCAAGGCAACGAUGCGUAGCCGACCUGAGAGGGUGAUCGGCCACCCUGGAACUGAGACACGGUCCAGACUCCUACGGGAGGCAGCAGUAGGGAAUCUUCCGCAAUGGGCGAAAGCUUGACGGAGCAGCGCCGCGUGAGUGAUGAAGGUCUUCGGAUCGUAAAACUCUGUUAUUAGGGAAGAACAAAUGUGUAAGUAACUAUGCACGUCUUGACGGUACCUAAUCAGAAAGCCACGGCUAACUACGUG
rnacentral:rRNA from 1 species